rnacentral:rRNA from 1 species
GUGGGGAAUUUUGGACAAUGGGCGAAAGCCUGAUCCAGCCAUGCCGCGUGCAGGAUGAAGGCCUUCGGGUUGUAAACUGCUUUUGUACGGAACGAAAAGACUCCUUCUAAUAAAGGGGGUCCAUGACGGUACCGUAAGAAUAAGCACCGGCUAACUACGUGCCAGCAGCCGCGGUAAUACGUAGGGUGCAAGCGUUAAGCGGAAUUACUGGGCGUAAAGCGUGCGCAGGCGGUUAUAUAAGACAGAUGUGAAAUCCCCGGGCUCAACCUGGGAACUGCAUUUGUGACUGUAUAGCUAGAGUACGGUAGAGGGGGAUGGAAUUCCGCGUGUAGCAGUGAAAUGCGUAGAUAUGCGGAGGAACACCGAUGGCGAAGGCAAUCCCCUGGACCUGUACUGACGCUCAUGCACGAAAGCGUGGGGAGCAAACAGGAUUAGAUACCCGGGUAGUCC